GCUCAGGUGCCGAAACUGGAAAACGAGCCAGGCUCAGACCCUGGUGCCCCUCGUGGGCUUGCGGGUUCGACUCCCGCCCUGAGCACCA
rnacentral:tRNA from 1 species